UACGAAGGGGGCUAGCGCUGCUCGGAAUCAUUGGGCGUAAAGCGCACGUAGGCGGCUCGUUAAGUCGGAUGUGAAAGCCCUCGGCUCAACCGAGGAAGUGCAUACGAAACUGGCGAGCUUGAAUAUGGAAGAGGGUCGCGGAAUUCCCGGUGUAGAGGUGAAAUUCGUAGAUAUCGGGAGGAACACCAGUGGCGAAGGCGGCGACCUGGGCCAAUAUUGACGCUGAGGUGCGAAAGCGUGGGGAGCAAACAGG
rnacentral:rRNA from 1 species